rnacentral:lncRNA from 1 species
CAGUCUUCAAAGUCCUCAUGAAGUGGGAAGGGACCUUGCACAGGUGGGAAAAAGAUCUGGGGAGAUGAAGUGAGAAGCCAGAACCGUUAGUGAUGGAUCAGAGCCCAGAAUCCUGAUGAUGGAAAGGAGCUUCCAGAGUCUCUUCAGAUCAAAAGGUCCCUGCUACCCUGAUGACUGUGUCGUCACGCCCAACUGAACUACCGCUGCCUAACUUGGAAUUUGUUCCACAUAACAGUCUUAGCACCAUCUUCCUUGAGACUCCUGCGCCAUGAGAGCGAAGUGGCAGAAGAGAAUGUGCAGGCUGAAGCGCAAGAGAAGAAAGAUGAGGCAGAGGUCCAAGUAAGCCAGCGGUGCACCCACGACACCUGCAGGAGCAGAAGUGAGGGAUGCUGAGGGCCGGGAUAAGCUAUCCGACUGUGUGCUGCCAUCGGUAAUGAGUCUCAGUAGACCUGGAACGUCACCUCGCCGCGAUUGCCUAGAGAAAUGACCGCCUUUCUUACAACCAAAACAGUCCCGCUGGCCCUCUGCCCUGGACCCCCGGCACUCUGUACUAGCUCUGUUCUCUUGUGGCCAAGUGUAGCUUGUGUACAAUAAACCUUCUUGCAGUCAGCUGAAGAAUCAAAAAAAAAAGCCAUGUUUCUGGGAAGCAGAGUUUGAGACAAGCAACGGCAUGAACUCAGAUGCAGUUCCAGGGAGAACAACAUCAACUCAAGCUGUCAUGGAAAGUCAGUACAGGGCACCCCUGGGCACAGAAGUCCUUGGCACUGCCUGAUCACUAUCUUUGAUAGGCAGGUCAGCUCCCGGGUCCCCAGAGCAGUCCUGCAAUAAAGUAGCAGGUGUGAACCUUGGGAAUCGAAUCACAGCGGUGCUGAGGAGGAGCGAAUGGUAUUAGAGUUACCCAAAGCAAGUUACCAAAACUGUUGAGACCUGUCACAUGCCUCAAAAAAAAAAAAAAAAAAAAAAAAGCAUUUCCAGAGAGUUUCCUGUGUCUGGCCUUUUCUUUCCAUUCCCCUUUCUCCUUGUUUUAUAGUCUAGCUUCUUUAGCUUCUCCUUUCCAUCAGUUCAGGAAAUAUUUACAGAGCCCUACUAUGUGCUGAACACCGUGCUAGGACGGAGAAUACAUUGCUGAAUACAUCGGGAAAAUCUACGCUGUCAUGGAAACAGGUUGCAGGGGCAAGUCUUAGCACUGUUUAAAUGGAGACUAUUUUUCAAAGAUAGCCAAAAUAUCAGGACAGGCUGUGGAAGCUGAGGUUUAAUGUGUGGCAGCAGAAAAUGCAGUGGGCUUAAACUUGGAUUCCUGGCACAGAUGUGAUGGCCCAGCACAGGUCUCCUCAGAGUGACCUGAAGGAAGAACAAGGGGGAAUACCAGUUAUCUGUCAUGAAAGAGGGAGGAAUAAGACAAGAGUCUCGGGCUGGAGAGAUGGCACAGCGGUCAAGAGCAUUGAUUGCUCUUCCAGAGGUCCUGAGUUCAAUUCCCAGCAACCACAUGGUGGCUCAUCUGUAAUGGGAUCUGAUGCCCUCUUCUUGUGUGUCUGAAGACAGCUACAGUGUACUUACAUAUAAUACAUAAAAUAAAUCUUAAAA